CCUACGGGUGGCAGCAGUGAGGAAUAUUGGUCAAUGGACGAAAGGCUGAACCAGCCAAGUCGCGUGAAGGAAGAAGGAGCUAUGGAUUGUAAACUUCUGUUAUAGGGGAAUAAAGGUAGCCACGUGUGGAGAUUUGCAUGUACCCUAUGAAUAAGCAUCGGCUAACUCCGUGCCAGCAGCCGCGGUAAUACGGAGGAUGCGAGCGUUAUCCGGAUUUAUUGGGUUUAAAGGGUGCGUAGGUGGUUUUUGAAGGCAGCGGUGAAAGUUUGGGGCUCCACCAUAAAAUUGCCGUUGAAACUGGCAGUCUUGAGUGUGUUUGCGGUAGGCGGAAUGCGUGUUGUAGCGGU
rnacentral:rRNA from 1 species